GCCCCCAAGCCUUCCGCAUCUUUUACUUGGUCAGAUGACAACCAAACCAUCCCUUGAAAGAAGAGACAUAAGGGACAGAAAUGGAGGGAAGAGAGAUGUGGAUGAAAGAUGAGACUCAGCCUAAUUCAUAUUCAGUCCUUACCAGCUUUGAGUACCUCGAAGAGAAGAAGGCCAUUUUUGUAUGCUGUCAUAAAACACCAAAAUGAAGACAACUUAUAGAAGAAAGAGUUUAUUUGGACUUACAGAUCCAGAGGGACAAGAGUCCACCAUGGCAAAUGCUGGUACCAGAGGAUGGAACACUUGGGAAGGAGUGAAAUCAUGAAGAUAGAACCCUAAUACAUGGAGCUAGUAUCCUUAUUGAAGGAGACCCCUGUGAGCUCCCUAGUCCCUUCUGUGUGAUGUUACAAAGAGAAGAAGGCUGUUGGCAAAGUGAGCCCUGGCCAGACAAUGAAUCUUCCAGGAUAUUGGCAGUAGUCUUCCUGGACCCCAGAACUGCCCUUCACCUAUGAGAAAAUGCUACCAUGCUUCAGUGAAUCCUCCUUGAAAAUGCUCUCCCACUCUCAGUCAGUGGUGCAUGUCAUUAACCCAUUCAAUGGUUCUCGAUCCAGUCAAGCUGACAGUCAAGAUUGGUCAUCACAAAUCCUCCUCUUUGUAGCCAGGAGUAGGCUGCUUCAUCCCAGGGAAGUGAUGCUGGCAAGUUGGGAGGAAGCUGGCUCAGAAGAUAAGGAGAAGCAUUAGAAGAAGGGAGCCACCUCCUUGUGAUUUUUCCCCUUUGUUAUCUAGGGCCUCUUGUGGUCCCCCCAUUGUGUACACAUGCCGUCUGCACAGGCUUUCUAACACGCUUGCUUUUUCUGUCAUUUGACCAUUUGGUUGAGUUUCUUUAUCUUAAAUCGGGUGACUUUUUUCCGCCAAAGUAGUAAUGGCUUAAAUAUUUGUGUUCUGAACCUAUUUCUGAUUCAUAGGGCAUUAAUCUACUAUACUCCAGAAUGUAAAUUAAAACUUUUGGUCAGCAUAUAAUUAUCUUGCAAUAGAGAAAAAUCUGUAACAAGUGAAAUAUGCUUGUAUGAUGACUUUAUAUACACAUAUAAAAAUACAUGUGUAUAUGUACACAUAAAUGUAUUAUUUAUCCAUACAUGUAUAUAUGUGUAUUAUAUAUACACAUAAGCACAGUGUCUAUUAUGCUAUUUAAAUGAAACCUGAAUAUUCAUUAUAGCUCUUUGUA